UACGUAGGGUGCAAGCGUUAUCCGGAAUUAUUGGGCGUAAAGAGCUCGUAGGCGGUUUGUCACGUCUGCUGUGAAAAACUCGGGGCUUAACCCCGGGCCUGCAGUGGGUACGGGCAGACUAGAGUGCGGUAGGGGAGACUGGAAUUCCUGGUGUAGCGGUGAAAUGCGCAGAUAUCAGGAGGAACACCGGUGGCGAAGGCGGGUCUCUGGGCCGUAACUGACGCUGAGGAGCGAAAGCGUGGGGAGCGAACAGG
rnacentral:rRNA from 1 species